ensembl:lncRNA
AUGCGUAGAGACUUCCUGAGCAAACAGGAGCAGGACAAGGACGCAGUUUUAGGGUUGCAGGCAGAGCUUCAAGACCUACAGUCCCGUUUCGAGGAGUCUCUGAGUUCCCGUGAAGUUUCGGAGCGCAGCUUAAAUGACCAGAUCAGAGAACUUUCUCUGCAGAGCCGGGAGUCUCAGCAAGAGGUCACACAACCCGAAGCUUUACAUUCCAGUGGUUCAGUCAUAGAAACAAAUUUAUCAUCCAGAACACAAAAAACCUAUAGCCCAGGAGAGCAGUAAAAAUGGUUUGUGCCAGUGCCAAAUAACCAACGUCAUAUAAGUUAGGGGGUGAGUAAGUUUAUGUUGGGCUGUAAGGCAACAUAAGGCCUGUGGGAGUCCAACUUGUACCUACCAGGUGCAGUCUUGGGGAGCGCCAUUUAGUACACACAUUUGUUGAGCUUGGCACUGGUUAAUGUGUAUUGAGCAUGCUCCAGGUGCCACUAGUUUGAGGUUUCUGCUUGUAUCUGAGCAUGUACACUUCUACCUUUCAGCCUCAAGGUCAACCUUUGGAAUUGACCUCUGCACAUACCUAAGGCCACGGAUUUAUUUGUUUGAACAAUCUAUCUCCAGGCUAUGAUGAGAACUUCAUCUCUAGGUGAAGCUGUCUACUCACCAAGAUGGAUUCUCUCCUCCUGUUUGAUUAUUUUCACUAAACCUCCUCCAGCUUGCCCUGGUCAGACAAUGACAAACUACCAGUGGUGAGAGGGAACGAUAAAAGCCAGCAGGGGAGUGAAAAGUGAAGGCUCUCUAUGAUAUGAAAAGGAAAAGUUCAGUCACAAAUAAGCAGGUGCUCAGAAGUUUAUUUCUUCCUGUUCUAUAAUAAAAAGUUGUCUCUAUGGAAACAUCGCCCCAACUCUAAAACAGAGGUCAUCUAUAACCUAACACUGUCCUACUAACCCAACCCCCCUAUCAAUGAAUUAAACCAGUGUGGGCUUGGCAUGGGCUUAUUUCUAUUACAUUAAGAUUUAUGAGAAGAAAACAUCUUGUGUGGCCACUGAACUUAAACACCCACACACACACACACACACGCACAUAUUUCUCUUUAACACAGCAGCAUUCUACACACGCUUGUACUCACUGCUGAUGUUUUUCAUCAUCGCUGCUGUGUGUGGCAGUCUUUGGAGCCUGCCCUGUCUUUCUCUGUUUUUCUUCUCCCUCUUUCUCUCUGCAUUCUGGCUGCAUUUUGGGGAAAAAAUGCACCGUAAAAUGAUUAGCUGUAGCCAAGCAAUUACCAGAAUGUGGGUCAUUUUCCUGUGUGUUUACAUGGGCGAGGAGUUUCACCCUGAGCAUAUAUGAUGAAAGCUUUUGAAAAUUUGAACCAUUUCACAUGCACUUAAAACACAUUUUUAAGUGCAAACAAGAAUGUGCCCUGAAAUCCGGCGUUGAAAGGAGGGCAGAUCUCUUUGGAUGAGUCUGAUGCUCACAUGCUUUGAGAAGCUGAAUGGAACAAGACAGUGGAAUUUUACUAAUAGGCUGCGUUUCCAUUUCAUUCAUCUCAUGGAAUAUUAAGUUGAAUUGUCCUCACCAAAACAGUGCCACGUAAGGAAUAUGACUGUUAGAAAUCUUCACUCCCUCUUUGGUGUCACAUCACCACACUUGAGUGAUUAAAUUGACAUUAUUUUAGACAGAUAAAGUUACACCAUUGCACUCAAACCAUUACCCAUCACUCCUCUUGUAUUUACAGAAUAAUUUGGCUUCAUUUGAUCUUUCCCUCUCAUCUCUGUCUCUUUCAGGUGGAGCGUUUGAGAAGGGAACUGAGUGAGGUGGAGGAGAGCAGGGACUCUGGCCGUAAGGAACUGAUCGAGGCCCACCGAGAGCUGAGGGAGUGUUUGCAGGACAGGGACACCCAGCGGAGUGAGGGCAAGGACCUGAAGAGAGCUUUAGGAGAUGUUGUGAGAGAGAAAGAGGCCAUCCAGGCUUCCAAUCAUGAUCUCCGAACAGCUGUGAAGAGAGCCGAGUUUGAAAACAACAGGUCUAGCAUAUUGGAUUUGUUUGAAGUGAUUGAUAUAUUGAUAUAUUUUGUAUUACAUACCUGUUCCCUGUUAGCUUGGCUAUAACAUCAGAUCAUCAUUGAGAUGUGAUUUUAAGUGAGCAUUAACAAAAACAUAGGAAUAACCUCUAAAACCUAGUCUAAAAUAGUAGUUCAACUACAAACCCGAUUCCAAAAAAGUUGGGACACUGUACAAAUUGUGAGUAAAAAAGGAAUGGCAUAAUUUACAAAUCUCAUAAACUUAUAUUUUAUUCGCAAUUGAAUAUAAAUAACAUAUCAAAUGUUGAAAGUGAGACAUUUUCAAAUGUAAUGCCAAAUAUUGGCUCAUUUUGGAUUUCAUGAGAGCUACACAUUCCAAAAAAGUUUGGACAGGUAGCAAUAAGAGGCCAGAAAAGUUAAAUGUACAUACAGUAUAACGAACAGCUGGAGGACCAAUUUGCAACUUAUUAUGUCAAUUGGCAACAUGAUUGGGAUAAAAAGAGCCUCUCAGAGUGGCAAUGUUUCUCAGAAGUCAAGAUGGGCAGAGGAUCACCAAUUCCCCCAAAGCUGCGGUGAACAAUAGUGGAUCAAUAUCUGAAAGGAGUUUCCCAGAGCAAAUUUGCAAAAAGUUUGAAGUUAUUAUCAUUUACAGUGCAUAAUAUCAUCCAAAGAUUCAGAGAAUCUGGAACAAUCUCUGAAAACUAUACUGGAUGCCCGUGACCUUCGGGCCCUUAGACAGCACUGCAUCACAUACAGGAAUGCUACUGUAAUGGAAAUCACAACAUGGGCUCAGGAAUACUUCCAGAAAACAUUGUCAGUGAACACAAUCCAUCGUGCCAUUCACGGUGCCGACUAAAAUUCUAUAGGUCAAAAAAGAAGCCAUAUCUAAACAUGACCCAGAAGCGCAGGUGUUUUCUCUGGGCCAAGGCUUAUUUAAAAUGGACUGUGGCAAAGUGGAAAACUGUUCUGUGGUCAGACGAAAUCAAAAUCUGAAGUUCUUUUUGGAAAACUGGGGCGUAAUGUCAUCCGGACUAAAGAGGACAAGGACAACCCAAGUUGUUAUCAGUGCUCAGUUCAGAAGCCUGCAACUCUGAUGGUAUUGGGUUGCAUGAGUGCAUGUGGCAUGGGCAGCUUACACAUCUGGAAAGGCACCAUUAAUGCUGAAAUUUGUAUCCAAGUUCUAGAACAACAUAUGCUCCCAUCCAGAUGUCGUCUCUUUCAGGGAAGACCUUGCAUUUUCCAACAUGAUAAUGCCAGACCACAUACUGCAUCAAUUACAACAUCAUAGCUGCCUAGAAGGAGGAUUCGGGUACUGAAAUGGCCAUCCUGCAGUCCAGAUCUUUCACCCAUAGAAAACAUUUGGUGCAUCAUAAAGAGGAAGAUGCUACAGAGAAGACCUAAGACAGUUGAGCAAAUAGAAGCCUGUUUUAGACAAGAAUGGGACAACAUUUCAAUUCCUUAACUUGAGCAACUUGUCUCCUCAGUCUCCAGACGUUUGCAGACUGUUAUAAAAAGAAGAGGAGAUGCCACACAGUGGUAAACAUGGCCUUGUCCCAACUUUUUUGAGAUGUGUUGAUGCCAUGAAAUUUAAAAUCAACUUAUUCUUCCCGUAAAAUUAUAAAUUUGCUCAGUUCAAACAUUUGAUAUGUCAACUAUGUUGUAUUGUGAAUAAAAUAUUGAAAUUUGAAACUUCCACAUCAUUGCAAUCUGUUUUUAUUCACAACUUGUACAGUGUCCCAACUUUUUUGGAAUCGGGUUUGUAUAAUAUAGUAUAUUAUUAACUAUAAUAUAUACUAUAUUUACUAAAUAAAUAUCAGUAAAGGAGUAGAAAUUUCUAUUUGGGAUGUUGAACAUUCCCUGUAAGUCUCAGUUUCUUUAUGAAACAAGGAAUAGGCUUAAUUAAAAACUAAUUAAUUAUCCUUGUUUUUCUUUUUCUUUUUUAUCAGUUUGAAGCGAGUCGGAGAAGAAAAGGAUCAGAGGCUGGCAGUGUUAGAAGAAUGUAAAUCCUCCCUCCAGCAGGAGG